rnacentral:rRNA from 1 species
AACCCGCCUACAUGAAGUUGGAAUUGCUAGUAAUGCAGAUCAGAAUGCUGCGGUGAAUACGUUCCCGGGCCUUGUACACACCGCCCGUCACACCAUGGGAGCCGGUAAUACCCGAAGUCAGUAGUCUAACCGCAAGGGGGACGCUGCCGAAGGUAGGAUUGGCGACUGGGGUGAAGUCGUAACAAGGUACC